GUCCAUGGCCAUAUCACCUGAACGCACCCGAUCUUGUCUGAUCUCGGAAGCUAAGCAGGGUUGGGCCUGCCUGGUUAGUACUUGGACU
rnacentral:rRNA from 1 species